rnacentral:rRNA from 1 species
UACGUAGGGUGCAAGCGUUAAUCGGAAUUACUGGGCGUAAAGCGUGCGCAGGCGGUUGUGCAAGACAGAUGUGAAAUCCCCGGGCUCAACCUGGGAAUUGCAUUUGUGACUGCACGGCUAGAGUGUGUCAGAGGGGGGUAGAAUUCCACGUGUAGCAGUGAAAUGCGUAGAGAUGUGGAGGAAUACCGAUGGUGAAGGCAGCCCCCUGGGAUAACACUGACGCUCAUGCACGAAAGCGUGGGGAGCAAACAGG